rnacentral:rRNA from 1 species
AACGAACGCUGGCGGCAUGCCUAACACAUGCAAGUCGAACGAGACCUCCGGGUCUAGUGGCGCACGGGUGCGUAACGCGUGGGAACCUGCCCUUAGGUUCGGAAUAACUCCCCGUAAGGGGUGCUAAUACCGGAUAAUGUCUUCGGACCAAAGAUUUAUCGCCUUUGGAUGGGCCCGCGUUGGUUUAGCUAGUUGGUAGGGUAAAAGCCUACCAAGGCGACGAUCCAUAGCUGGUCUGAGAGGAUGAUCAGCCACACUGGGACUAAGACACGGCCCAGACUCCUACGGGAGGCAGCAGUGGGGAAUAUAGGACGAUGGGCGAAAGCCUGAUCCAGCAAUGCCGCGUAAGUGAUGAAGGCGUUAGGGUUGUAAAGCUCUUUUACCCGGGAUGAUAAUGACAGUACCGGGAGAAUAAGCUCCGGCUAACUCCGUG